AAUGAACGCUGGCGGUAGGCUUAACACAUGCAAGUCGGACGGAAACGAUAUAGAAGCUUGCUUUUAUAGGCGUCGAGUGGCGGACGGGUGAGUAACGCGUGGGAAUCUACCCUGUAGUUGGGGACAACAUAUGGAAACGUAUGCUAAUACCGAAUGUGAUCUACGGAUUAAAGGAGCCCUCUUCUUGAAAGGUUUCGCUACAGGAUGAGCCCGCGUUAGAUUAGCUAGUUGGUAAGGUAAUGGCUUACCAAGGCGACGAUCUAUAGCUGGUUUGAGAGGAUGAUCAGCCACACUGGAACUGAGACACGGUCCAG
rnacentral:rRNA from 1 species